rnacentral:rRNA from 1 species
UGGCUCAGAGUGAACGCUGGCGGCAGGCCUAAUACAUGCAAGUCGAACGGCAGCACAGCAGAGCUUGCUCUGUGGGUGGCGAGUGGCGGACGGGUGAGGAAUACAUGGGAAUCUGCCCAGUCGUGGGGGAUAACGUAGGGAAACUUACGCUAAUACCGCAUGCGCCCUUCGGGGGAAAGCCGGGGACCUUCGGGCCUGGCGCGAUUGGAUGGGCCAUGUCGGAUUAGCUAGUUGGCGGGGUAAUGGCCCACCAAGGCGACGAUCCGUAGCUGGUCUGAGAGGAUGAUCAGCCACACUGGAACUGAGACACGGUCCAGACUCCUACGGGAGGCAGCAGUAGGGAAUAUUGGACAAUGGGCGCAAGCCUGAUCCAGCCAUGCCGCGUGAGUGAAGAAGGCCCUCGGGUUGUAAAGCUCUUUUGUCCGGAAAGAAAAGCGCCGGGUUAAUACCCUAGUGUCCUGACGGUACCGGAAGAAUAAGCACCGGCUAACUUCGUG